rnacentral:rRNA from 1 species
AACAGGAGCAUUACCACCAUGUAGCCUGAUCUGGUCAUAUCUAUGAAGCUAACCAAGGCUGGGCCUAGGAAAUACUGGGAUAGGAAACCUCUAAGGAAAUCCAGGUUUCUGCAGUUU